GACGAACGCUGGCGGCGUGCCUAAUACAUGCAAGUUGAGCGCUGAAGGUUGGUACUUGUACCAACUGGAUGAGCAGCGCACGGGUGAGUAACGCGUGGGGAAUCUGCCUUUGAUCGGGGGACAACAUUUGGAAACGAAUGCUAAUACCGCAUAAAAACUUUAAACACAAGUGUGAAGUUUGAAAGAUGCAAUUGCAUCACUCAAAGAUGAUCCCGCGUUGUAUUAGCUAGUUGGUGAGGUAAAGGCUCACCAAGGCGAUGAUACAUAGCCGACCUGAGAGGGUGAUCGGCCACAUUGGGACUGAGACACGGCCCAAACUCCUACGGGAGGCAGCAGUAGGGAAUCUUCGGCAAUGGACGAAAGUCUGACCGAGCAACGCCGCGUGAGUGAAGAAGGUUUUCGGAUCGUAAAACUCUGUUGGUAGAGAAGAACGUUGGUGAGAGUGGAAAGCUCAUCAAGUGACGGUAACUACCCAGAAAGGGACGGCUAACUACGUG
rnacentral:rRNA from 1 species